rnacentral:rRNA from 1 species
UACAGAGGUCUCAAGCGUUGUUCGGAAUUACUGGGCGUAAAGCGUGCGCAGGCGGCUUCUCAAGUCAGGGGUGAAAGCCCAGAGCUCAACUCUGGAAUUGCCUUUGAGACUGAGUGGCUUGAGUACGGGAGAGGUGAGUGGAAUUCCCAGUGUAGAGGUGAAAUUCGUAGAUAUUGGGAAGAACACCGGUGGCGAAGGCGGCUCACUGGCCCGUAACUGACGCUCAUGCACGACAGCGUGGGGAUCAGACAGG